rnacentral:rRNA from 1 species
GCACGCCUGCCCAGUGAAUAAUUAAACGGCCGCGGUACCCUAACCGUGCAAAGGUAGCGUAAUCAUUUGUCUACUAAUUAUAGACCUGUAUGAAAGGCAAAAUGAGGAUUUAACUGUCUCUUAUAAUAAAUCAAUUAAACUGAUCUCCUAGUAAAAAAGCUAGAAUAAUAACAUAAGACCAGAAGACCCUGUGAAGCUUAAAUCAAACUAUUAAACCAUAUAAUAACUACUUUCGGUUGGGGCGACCUUGGAAAAAAAAAGAACUUCCAAGACCCAGCACAGCUGAUAAUUGAACCAAGUUACUCCAGGGAUAACAGCGCAAUCUUCUUCAAGAGCCCAUAUCAAAAAGAAGGUUUACGACCUCGAUGUUGGAUCAGGACAUCCUAAUGGUGCAGCCGCUAUUAAGGGUUCGUUUGUUCAACGAUUAACAGUCCUACGUGAUCUGA